ACAAAUUAAACGAAUAUUUUCUAUUAGAAGAAAAUUUGACGAACAUUUUUUAUAAAAAGAAAUUUUAACAAAAAGUUAGCGAAAAUGUGCUAUAAAAAUAGUUUUGUUAAAGUGUGUUAAUUAUCUCAUAUACCUACUAUCAACCCUAAGGACUUUGACUUAUUUUCCACUGCAUCAUAAUAUUUCGGUUAAGUAACUGUCUUGCUUUGGCAACAACAACAAAAAAAAGAACAUGUUAACCAAACAAUAGUAUCUGCAGCAGUGCAUACUAAAGUAGUUGUAAAACAAUUGAGUUUUAUCAGCAAAAGUCGACGCAGUAAUGGUAAUGACUUCAGUGCACUAAAUGAUGUUGAUGAUGAUGUUAAAUUAACGCCAACACAAACAGCUUAAAUGCCUCAACACCGUUUUAUAUUUUGUACUGGACUUUCCUAUACAAAUAUUCUGGCGUUUAAGGCCGAAAUGUUACGGAACAAUUAUUGACAUGAUGUUUCAAGUGUAAGUGGAGUAAAGACUGAGAAUUUGUUUUAAAGAGAAGUAUGUGUGUAUUUAAUUUGUUUAAAUGUACCGGAAACUUAUGUUUCAUUCAACAUCCUGUUGUUUUAUUUUUAAAUUUUUGUUCGUUCGUAUUUUAAGCGUUUUAAAUUAUGGAAAAAAUAAAACUUUUUUCGCUGUGGUUUAUUUUGGUCGAUACACCUACAA